rnacentral:misc_RNA from 1 species
AAAACCUGUAACACAGUUUUUGGCGGACCUUUCAAUCUUGUUUGGAACAGAGUCUUCAGUUUUAUUGCUUUCUUGUUUUCAUCGACAUCAUCAACUUUCUCAUUCUUCAAAUCUACCGCACACCCACCUCCUCAUUCAUUCUCAUUUCUCUGUCAGAGUAGUAAUUGUUCUUGCAGGAAGACAGGAAUCGGAUUACAUUGAUCAGGAAAUGGAUUCUGCAGCCAUGACUAGCGUUUGUGGCAAAUCUGCUCUUUGCUCUACUCCCGGUUUAUUUUUGGGGAGAACGAACGGUAUUAGGAGCUCGCAGUGUAGCUUUAUAGCUGGAAAUAGGAUAAACUUUCCAAGGCAGACAGCUCAAGCACACAGAGUUCGUACUAAUUCUCGCAAGGGUCAUGGUGCUCUUACUGUGACAUGCCGCGCCGAGAAAAUUCUGGUGGCAAAUAGAGGAGAGAUUGCUGUUCGCGUGAUCCGAACUGCCCAUGAGAUGGGAAUUCCUUGUGUUGCGGUUUAUUCGACCAUUGAUAAAGAUGCCUUACAUGUGAAGCUAGCUGAUGAAUCUGUUUGCAUUGGAGAAGCACCAAGUAAUCAGUCGUAUUUAGUGAUCCCAAAUGUCUUGUCUGCUGCUAUCAGUCGCGGAUGUACAAUGUUGCAUCCUGGAUAUGGUUUCCUUUCUGAGAAUGCAAGUUUUGUUGAGAUGUGCAGAGAACAUGGAAUCAACUUUAUUGGGCCAAAUCCAGACAGCAUAAGAGUCAUGGGUGACAAAGCCACUGCUAGAGAUACAAUGAAGAAUGCUGG